rnacentral:misc_RNA from 1 species
GGAGAACUACUCAUUUAUUUCUUGAAGCAGAAAUGAAAAGUUAACAUCCAUGGAAUUAAAAUAGUUUAUGCAUAAUUUCUCGAGUAAUAGAAGCAGGCAGAGUUCCUAUAAAGAAUUGCUUAAAUGCUCAAAGCUGCCAUGAAAGGUAUAAGAAUAGGAUACACAAAGGAGCUAGCUUAAGAAAGAAUAAAAAGUAUGGAACAGCUAAUUGUGUCAAACCGUCUGAAGAUAUAAGACCUAAAAUGGACUAAUAUGACCAGCCAACCUUAACAACACUUCAGGAACAAGGCGUCUUCUUGGAGGUGGGGUAGCAUCCUUGGCUAAAGCUUCCUUAUCAUCAGCAUGUAUUACUGCUACCAAAUGGUCGAACAGGUCAUCUUUACCUCCUCUUAGUGGAUCUUGUAAAAAUAAGUCUGUGUGAGUUUUUCCCUCGUACAAAAUUAGAUCAGCCUGAGCUCCUACCCUUUGGAGAGCAUCCACAAAAGUUUGACUGGAAGUUGAUGGUAUGGAAUAAUCUGCAGUUCCAUGAAAGAGAGUAAUAGGAGGCAAGAGUGAAACAGCAUCUUUAAAGCUUUGAUCCUGUACUCUAACUUCAGGAGAAAAUAAUUGCAAGGAUUCUUCACCUUCCAUUAUGCUUAAGAAGAGGGAGCGAUAUAGACCUCGAUUAUUAAAGUGAUCAACUAGCUUGCAUAAAUUGUACCCUCCAGAUAGCCCAAAAUAACCUUUUAUUUGCGAGACACUCCAGGAGAUGGUCUCUUCUCCCCUAGCUUCUUUGAGUGCUUGCUCCACAAGAACACAAGCAGAAAUAUGUGCACCAGCUGAUUGUCCCAUAAGGUAAAUCCUACUCAAUAAGCAUGAAGAAAUCAAAAAGCAUAGUUUUAAGACAAAUGAAACAUGGAAAAACAUAGAACUAUUUUAUUACCUGUUAGGAUCACCUCCAUAUUCUGAGAUGUUAUUGCAGAUAAAUGAGAUCCCUUGAGAUGCAUCACUUACCAUAUCACUUAUGGUUCCCUGGGGAAAAUUUCUGUGUGAACAUGUCAACCAAACAUGAGUGGUGGAGGUAGAGAACAAACAAGUAUGCCAAUGUUGAGACUAAAAAAAAAAGAUAGUGCUAUUUAAAAACAAACUUAACAGUUAUCAUGGAUUCAUGGAAGAAGCUGACUUCAGCUAGUAUUCAUCAUGCAUUAAACUGACAAACUAAUAUCAUCAAGGGACAUUAUCUAAUGGGUUGCCACUAGCAAAUAUAAGGAUCAACGAGUCAAAAAGUUGCUCAGUUGCACCUAGGACCCCUCCCAAUAUAAGGGACAGAUAUAGUGUUUGGGCGUGUAAUUGUCUCAACAUUAGUUAAUUUGCAUACAAUUGGAAUAUGUAUCAUUGAUCAAAUGUGGUAAUCUAUGAUCCUUUCAUUAACCAUUUGUCCUUUAGGGAAGAAAAGAAGGAAUAAAGUACAUGGUGAGAGUAUAAAACUUGCAGACAUAUCUCUUCGCUGGACUUGAUGUUCCAAGAUUACAGGGAUAUUAGUACUAAAUGUCCCACUUGAAAUAUCCAUUUUAAUUCCACAUAAUAGCAUAUCUAGGUAAACAAAAACCACAGACUGCAGCAUGCCCUGCCUGAACUGACACCACGUACCGAUAAUCGAUACAUGCCACUAUGAUGUCUCUUUCUGCCAACUGUUUUCCUAGAAGAGAACCCCACGCUUUGUACCUAAAUCAGCAUGAAGCUACAGAAACUUAAUAUCAAA